rnacentral:rRNA from 1 species
GCUGGUCUCAGAUAAGCCAUGGCACGUCUAAGUACAAACUAAAUUGGAUGAGUGGAAACUGGCAAAUGAGCUCAUUACAACGGUUAUGAUGUACCCGGGAGUUCCGAUGGAUAUUUCCAGUAACACUAGAACUAAUACAUGUCCCAGCGUUUAUUAGUUUCGCACAGUCCGUCGCUGAGUCAUGGUAAACAGUUGAUCGACUCGACGUCCCGGAACAGUUUCCGCCCCAUCAGCUUCGAUGGUUGGGUAUUGGCCUACCAUUGCAACAACGGGUAACGAGGAAUUAGGGUUUGAUUUCGGAGAGGGAGCCUGAGAAACGGCUACCACAUCUACGGAUGGCAGCAGGCGCGCAAAUUACCCAAUGCAGACACUGUGAGGUAGUGACGAGAAAUAAUAAAGCGGGACUUCUGUUUCGCUAUUAUAAUGAGGAAUAACCAAAGGUCAUUCCGAUUAGCAACUGAUGGGAAAGUCUGGUGCCAGCAGCCGCGGUAAUACCAGCG